rnacentral:rRNA from 1 species
GAUGAACGCUGGCGGCGUGCCUAAUACAUGCAAGUCGAGCGAACGGACGAGAAGCUUGCUUCUCUGAUGUUAGCGGCGGACGGGUGAGUAACACGUGGAUAACCUACCUAUAAGACUGGGAUAACUUCGGGAAACCGGAGCUAACACCGGAUGAUAUUUUGAACCGCAUGGUUCAAAAGUGAAAGACGGUCUUGCUGUCACUUAUAGAUGGAUCCGCGCUGCAUUAGCUAGUUGGUAAGGUAACGGCUUACCAAGGCAACGAUGCAUAGCCGACCUGAGAGAGUGAUCGGCCACACUGGAACUGAGACACGGUCCAGACUCCUACGGGAGGCAGCAGUAGGGAAUCUUCCGCAAUGGGCGAAAGCCUGACGGAGCAACGCCGCGUGAGUGAUGAAGGUCUUCGGAUCGUAAAACUCUGUUAUUAGGGAAGAACAUAUGUGUAAGUAACUGUGCACAUCUUGACGGUACCUAAUCAGAAAGCCACGGCUAACUACGUG